rnacentral:lncRNA from 1 species
UUCAAAAAUCAAAACACUGAUAUUAUCUUUUUUUUUUUUUAAGGUAACUUACAAGAUUAAAAUUAAAUUUGACGAUGAUUCUGAACAAAUAUGCUGUUUAUUUGAGGAAUAUGAAUCCUGAAGCUGAAUUACCUAAGGGGCCUCUACAGUGAAGUGAAAUAGAUGUUGGUGGAAGCAUUUAGUAAGUUUUUACUCAAUUUACAUGUUUAAUCUGUUUUUUAAGUUUAAAUAUGACUUUGGAAAUUUUAAGUAAAUGAGUCUAUAAAAACAGAUUUAGUGAGAUUCAAAACAGUACAAAAAUAGACCCAUAUGGUUAGGUGUGUACCAAGUUUAUUAAAAUCUUAUUAAUUUACUCCAACCUUUUAUUACUUUCUGCUUUUCUAACUUAGGUUCAGGCAAAGUUUAAAUG